UACGUAGGGUGCAAGCGUUGUCCGGAAUUAUUGGGCGUAAAGGGCUCGUAGGCGGUCCAUCGCGUCGGGAGUGAAAAGCUGGGGCUUAACCCCAGUCCUGCUUCCGAUACGGGUGGACUAGAGGUAGGUAGGGGAGAACGGAAUUCCUGGUGUAGCGGUGAAAUGCGCAGAUAUCAGGAGGAACACCGGUGGCGAAGGCGGUUCUCUGGGCCUUACCUGACGCUGAGACGCGAAAGCGUGGGGAGCAAACAGG
rnacentral:rRNA from 1 species